rnacentral:tRNA from 1 species
CAUUAGCUCAGUUGGUAGAGCACCUGACUUUUAAUCAGGUUGUCGGGGGUUCAAAUCCCCCAUG